GUAGUGUGAUGUAGAGUUUAUGG
rnacentral:siRNA from 1 species